CCUACGGGAGGCAGCAGUGGGGAAUAUUGCACAAUGGGGGAAACCCUGAUGCAGCGACGCCGCGUGAGCGAUGAAGGAUUUCGGUAUGUAAAGCUCUAUCAGCAGGGAAGAAAAUGACGGUACCUGACUAAGAAUCCCCGGCUAACUCCUUGCCAGCAGCCGCGGUAAUACGCAGGGGGCGAGCGUUAUCCGGAUUUACUGGGGGGAAAGGGAGCGUAGGCGGUACUGCGAGGCAGAUGUGAAAGCCCGGGGCUCAACCUGGGGACUGCAUUUGGAACUGUAAGGCUAGAGUGUCGGAGAGGAAGGCGGAAUUCCUGGUGUAGCGGUGAAAUGCGUAGAUAUUAGGAGGAACACCAGUGGCGAAGGCGGCCUGCUGGAAGAUAACUGACGUUGAGGCUCGAAAGCGUGGGGAGCAAACAGGAUUAGAUACCCUGGUAGUC
rnacentral:rRNA from 1 species